rnacentral:rRNA from 1 species
CAGUAGCCGCGGUAAUGCAGAGGGUGCGAGCGUUAAUCGGAUUUACUGGGCGUAAAGCGUGCGUAGGCGGCUUUUUAAGUCGGAUGUGAAAUCCCUGAGCUUAACUUAGGAAUUGCAUUCGAUACUGGGAAGCUAGAGUAUGGGAGAGGAUGGUAGAAUUCCAGGUGUAGCGGUGAAAUGCGUAGAGAUCUGGAGGAAUACCGAUGGCGAAGGCAGCCAUCUGGCCUAAUACUGACGCUGAGGUACGAAAGCAUGGGGAGCAAACAGGAUUAGAUACCCGAGUAGUCCCUGUCUCUUAUAC